AAGCUCGUAGUUGAAUUUCGGGGUUAGUAGGUUGGUCAUGCCUCUGUAUGUACUGGUCUCACUGAUUCCUCCUUCCUUAUGAACCGUAAUGCCAUUAAUUUGGUGUUGCGGGGAAUUUGGACUGUUACUUUGAAAAAAUUAGAGUGUUUAAAGCAAGCUAACGCUUGAAUACAUUAGCAUGGAAUAAUGAAAUAGGACGUUCGAUCUUAUUUUGUUGGUUUCUUAGGAUUGACGUAAUGAUUAAUAGGGAUAGUUGGG
rnacentral:rRNA from 1 species